rnacentral:rRNA from 1 species
GAUGAACGCUGGCGGCGUGCCUAAUACAUGCAAGUCGAGCGAACAGACGAGGAGCUUGCUCCUCUGACGUUAGCGGCGGACGGGUGAGUAACACGUGGAUAACCUACCUAUAAGACUGGGAUAACUUCGGGAAACCGGAGCUAAUACCGGAUAAUAUAUUGAACCGCAUGGUUCAAUAGUAAAAGACGGUUUUGCUGUCACUUAUAGAUGGAUCCGCGCCGCAUUAGCUAGUUGGUAAGGUAACGGCUUACCAAGGCAACGAUGCGUAGCCGACCUGAGAGGGUGAUCGGCCACCCUGGAACUGAGCCACGGUCCAGACUCCUACGGGAGGCAGCAGUAGGGAAUCUUCCGCAAUGGGCGAAAGCUUGACGGAGCAACGCCGCGUGAGUGAUGAAGGUCUUCGGAUCGUAAAACUCUGUUAUUAGGGAAGAACAAAUGUGUAAGUAACUAUGCACGUCUUGACGGUACCUAAUCAGAAAGCCACGGCUAACUACGUG